rnacentral:sRNA from 1 species
UUUUCUGCAUUGCUGAUGGGAAUCAUCUUGAUGGAGAAAUCCAAGGGCAAGGGACAGCAGCUGGGCUCUGCUCCUGACGGGACCUGGACUUCACCAUCGACCUGGACUUCAAGGGCCAGCUGUGCGAGCUGUCCUGCUCCACCGACUACCGGAUGCGCUGAGGCCCGGCUCUCCUGCCCUGCACGGGCCCAGGGGCUGAGCGUUCCUAGGCGGUUUCGGGGCUCCCCCUUCCUCUCCCUCCCUCCCGCAGAAGGGGGUUUUAGGGGCCUGGGCUGGGGGGAUGGGGAGGGCACAUCGUGACUGUGUUUUUCAUAACUUAUGUUUUUAUAUGGUUGCAUUUACGCCAAUAAAUCCUCAGCUGGGGUCUGGCUUUGUUUCCUGGGGGCAAAGGAGGUUUGGGGUUCCUUUCACAGGUACUGCAGUGCCAGCCUCAGCAGUGGGGGGACCGGCCUUGGCACCUGCUGGUGGCUGCCAUUCUGUGGAUCUGCGUCUCCUGUCCCCCGUCUCUAGGCCUCUUGCUCCCCUUCCUUGGUUCCUUCUCAGGGUCCCUGUCCUCCACAGCUGUCUCUCAGGGUCUUUGUCCAACUCUUUUUAUCCCUCUCCUGGGUCUGCGCCCCUCCCCUCUGCGGUACCCCUGUGUCCUGCCUAGUAGGGGAUGGGGGUGGCUUUCCAGCACAGCCAGCCCUCAAGUUUCCCAGAACAGUCUCCCCACCUCCCCCCAACACUCGACAUUGUUCCUCUCUGGCUGUUUUUUCCUGUUCGGGUCCCUUCAAGGCCCAACUGUGCCCAGCCCUCUGCAGCUGGGGACACUGAGUGGGUUGGGGGUGUAUGUUUGCGAGGAUAGAAUUUCUCAUGGGGGAGUGGCCCUGCUUCCUCCCCUAGAAUGGCUUGGGGCUUAGGGCUGGGGACUUGCCCUCCAUGGAGGUCAGUGGGAGUCGCAGCUGUAA